UACCGCGAAACUGCGAAUGGCUCAUUAAAUCAGUUAUCGUCUAUUUGAUAGUACCUUACUACUUGGAUAACCGUGGUAAUUCUAGAGCUAAUACAUGCUGAAAACCCCGACUUCGGAAGGGAUGUAUUUAUUAGAUUAAAAGCCAACGCCCUUCGGGGCUCCCUGGUGAUUCAUGAUAACUGCUCGAAUCGCACGGCCUUGCGCCGGCGAUGGUUCAUUCAAAUUUCUGCCCUAUCAACUUUCGACGGCUGGGUCUUGGCCAGCCGUGGUGACAACGGGUAACGGAGGGUUAGGGCUCGACCCCGGAGAAGGAGCCUGAGAAACGGCUACUACAUCCAAGGAAGGCAGCAGGCGCGCAAAUUACCCAAUCCCGACGCGGGGAGGUAGUGACAAUAAAUACUGAUACAGGGCUCUUUUGGGUCUUGUAAUUGGAAUGAGUACAAUUUAAUUCCCUUAACGAGGAACAAUUGGAGGGCAAGUCUGGUGCCAGCAGCCGCGGUAAUUCCAGCUCCAAUAGCGUAUAUUAAAGUUGUUGCAGUUAAAAAGCUCGUAGUUGAACCUUGGGCCUGGCUGGCCGGUCCGCCUCACCGCGUGCACUGGUCCGGCCGGGCCUUUCCCUCUGGGGAGCCGCAUGCCCUUCACUGGGCGUGCCGGGGAACCAGGACUUUUACUUUGAAAAAAUUAGAGUGUUCAAAGCAGGCUUAUGCUCGGAUACAUUAGCAUGGAAUAAUAGAAUAGGACGCGUGGUUCUAUUUUGUUGGUUUCUAGGACCGCCGUAAUGAUUAAUAGGGACAGUCGGGGGCAUCAGUAUUCAGUUGCGAGAGGUGAAAUUCUUGGACCAACUGAAGACUAACUACUGCGAAAGCAUUUGCCAAGGAUGUUUUCAUUAAUCAGGAACGAAAGUUAGGGGAUCGAAGACGAUCAGAUACCGUCGUAGUCUUAACCAUAAACUAUGCCGACUAGGGAUCGGGCGGUGUUAUCUUUUGACCCGCUCGGCACCUUGCACGAAAGUACAAG
rnacentral:rRNA from 2 species